CUACCUUGAAAUCAAAUUGGAAACUGAGUGGAAAAAUAGUUCUCCUCUUGACCCUCUCUGCGUUUAUACUCCAAUCUACACCCAACGCAUGGCUUUGUUGUACACUCUGUAUGAGUGCCCUCUAUAAUUAAACCUUUAUUCAAAUCUCCUCCUGCCUUCUUCAUCACCCUUGGUUAGAUCAAAACAGGAGAGGCAAAAAAAAAAAAAGGAACUUGUCUGGGGUGCAGAAGCAGAGAGGAAGAGAUACUAUUUAAUGAAGCAGGCUAACGGUGGUGGGGAGAGAAAGUCUCAGUUCUCCCAUCUCAGAAACAUUGAGCCUGGAAAUAUUGCUGAAAUCACAUUUGGGAACAAAGCUCCGCUUUAAGUAGGCUCACCCAUGAGUGUUGCUAAGCAAUGGAGAGAAGGCGAGAGAGGGAGAGCGCCUGACUUCAGGAUUAGAAGGAUAGAUAGAAGGAAAACCACUAAGGCUUCUAUGUAGCCUUAUUUAAAGUCAGCUUCCAAGUCCUAUGUUUUUCUUGCCUGUCUUCUGACCUAUUUGCACCACAAUUAAUCAAAUAUGGUUCAGUAUCACCACGCAUCCAGCACAGAGUUGCGCCGCGUCCUGGAGCUCUGGCACAAGCAGUUACGCACCAGAACUGUCAACAUGUCUCCACAUUGAACAGGGAAUUUAAGAGCAGUCUCUGAAGUCCUACAGAACUGACAAACUACUCAUUUAGAGAGGCUCCACGCUGGGUGACUCCCAUGAUCUCCUUUUCUUUACAAACAGCAUUUCUUUUAAAAAGAGCUUUAGUGGUUGUGGAAGGAUAUUAUUAUUGUUGGCUUUUCAUCCUCUUCUGCAACCCACCAACAGGACUGGUCUAUGCUUCAGCAGGCAUUGCCACCACUGCUGGUUUCAACACCACAAUCCCAGAGCAGCGGCAGAGCCCACAAAGGAACGUGGUCCUGAACAAGUCAACAGGCAUGGGUGAAAGGUCUGCAAGCAACGUCACGCUCCAAACCUCAACAGUUCACUUUUCAUUUGCACCAGUAUUUCUAUUUUUGCUCUGUGGCAAAAAUACCCAGAGGCAUUGGUUGGAGGGAUUUUUAAUCUAUGAUUUGUUUAACUUCAAAACAAUAAAUAAAAACUAAAAAUCAAUUAGAGCAGCCAGGAAGAGAGAGUGCUGCUUUUGUUGGCUGGAAAUGAAGAAGUUUAAUGUAUCCUUUCAUAAACAAACCUCCUCUAUACAUGAUUUUCUUCUAACAACAGGCAGGCUUCAAAAGACAUUUGGAGGUUUGGUUCAGGAUAGGAACCCAAAAGUUGAGAAAAUUCAGUUCUCUGCAAAACAGAGCUGAAAGUCUUGAGAACAGCAUGAGUGAAAUUUCCAGUGCUUCCCAUGUCUGCUCAAGCAGAGACAGUACUGUUAAAACAACCUCUCAGGCUGCUUUUCAGGAAACUGGCUAUUUUCUGCUGAACCAGCCAGAAACCAUUAAGUUCAAUACAUAAAAUAAUGAAAAGAGAAGUUGGCUGCCCUCAAAGGUAAACAGAGGUCAAGGUGGAGCUUGGCAUGCAGUUAUUCUUUGGUUAAAGAAAAAAAAGCUGCUCCAUGCAGAUCUGCUCAAAUUAAAAGAAAUAAUUUACAUAAAGUUUAUGAACUCAUCUGUUCAUCUUCCAGAAGUAAUUCAGUGGAUGAGAUUAUUAGCAGGGCCAUUAGCAGAUCUGAACUCUUUCUAGGAAAAAAAGAUGAUUUGUAUGUCUAAUAAAAAUGAAACCAUAAUGUUCAGUUUCAAUUUGACCAACUAAUUGUAUAUAUACUUUCCAAAUUAAUAAAAAUGAACUUCAGUAGGUUCUACUCAGCAUCAAACAAGCCAUACACGUGAGAAAAUUAUGAGUUAUCAGUAAGCAAUGAGGUUAAAAUGCAGUGAAUAAAUCACUUCCAGAACCUAGAAAAGAUUCUGCAGGAUAUCUCAUCCAGACAGGUUUGCUAUUCCUUCACUGACAGUACUACAUCCUCUGCAGCCCUAACAGCUCCUGUGUUUAGACACCCAGGGAAAGGGUUGGGCAUAUUCAUAGCAUAAAUGAAUAGCAGGAAUGACAGACAAACAAAUGUUCUUUCAGAGGCCUUGACUGACCGACCUCCUUCACAGGCCUCAAUACAAAAUCCACUGAUUGAGCACAGGUGCUCAAAACCAGUAUUUGCAGGCCUCAAGUUUUAGAGCACAUAGAUGGAGUUAAUAAAACUACCAGGACUCAGACACUAAGUACAGUUUUCCUCUUUUCCUUCUCACCCUGCAGACAAUCCCAUUUUAAUUACUGCCUAACUCUCCACAUAACUUCAUUCCUCACUGUACUCUUCAUUAUUCUCUUUUCUAGCCUCUUUCUCACCCCAAGGCAAGACUGAGAAAGCAAGGACUGUCAGAGAAAGAAGUUGGAGGGGAAGCCCUUCCCCAGCAGCCUGGGACAGAACAGAACAGGUUUUCAGAAAUCCCCUGCUUUCUCAUCUCAGACGGUGCCAGAGCAAAUAGCCAGAGAAAGCAAACACCUGAGCCCACGGCCAGGCUCCCCCUCACACACCCCACCGGCCUCCGCAGGCUGGUGGAUGCGAUCAGACAUGUUCCUAGCUCCAAGGGAUCCCUGAGUGAUAGAUUUUACAUCUCAACCUUCCAAAAGAAAGGUGAAGGUGAUCAAUCAGAAGUGCUAUUUGUUAUCAGUCCUAAGAGCUGCUUACGGUGCUACUGGCGGGAGGUGUAUUUUAAAUUUCAUCACCCACUGGAUAUCUGUCUUCUGCCUCUGUUAAUUCCCAAGGCUGAUCAGAGCAAUCUAGCUAUACCUAUGGCCUAGAGAGAUUUUGGAGCAGUGCAAGUCAAAACACCCUUGCCUUGCAAAAACAUUAAAAAUAGAUACUUUGAUUGCACUUAAAAAGGAAGCAUGCUUUGACCCAGACAAGUCCAGGCUAGAUUGCCCAUGACCUUGACUAAUCUUUUCUUGGCAUGUUUUUGAGUGCAUCAUCUCCCUUGAGCACAGCACAUGCAGCACUCCCAGUUCCUAAUGCAGCUCUUUUUUUUUCCCCCAGGCAUGCUCAGAUGAAGAAUUUGAAGCUAGGUUUUCCUUUAAGGGCAAGGGAGGACUAGAAGUUUAGAUAUCCACAGUAAAAUUCUGGGGACGAAGGAGAAGAGUGUAAAAUUGCAAAGUCCUGAUUGUAUAAGAACAAUGAAUAAGUUCCCAGAGGGAAGAUUAGAACAAGAAAGAGUGAUGGUGCUAGGAAGGAGGAAGCACUGGGAUAGGAAUCACCUCUCAGGAGAAGCUCUGUAUCCCAGAAGCAAGUCAAUUAGGAUUCCUUCCGAAAGGAAGGGUGCUGAGGCUUCAUCACAAAGCAGUAUUAGCCUCUGGCUUUGCACCUUCCUGACCUGCCCCACACAAAAGCACCUACAAUCAUCAGUUGAACUGGUUCUGUAAGCAUUUCUGUCCUUGGAAUUUAUUGUUCACUCUUUCUUAGACAAGAUCCCAAUGUAUUUUUUGCUGAAUCUAGAUUUAUUUUGUGACUUAACGUGUUUGUGUUAAACCACAGAGACAUGUGACCUAAGCAGUGCCUGCCAUACAACAGGAUGCAGCAGCAUUUAGAUCACCCAGGUCAACUAAACAAGGAAGAACUGGAUACAAUUAUUCCAAAAACCUCAGCUGAGGUGUAAUAAGUUGCCCUAGCCAACAAAUCCUCAUCCUUGCCCUAGAGGCUAUAGUUCAUCAGAUACCUUAAUUCACAGUUAUGCAGCAACUUCUAUCCUAUGACCACAAAAGCCUCUUACAGACUGUACAUACAGAAUAAUUCAUGCAUACAUGCAUGCAAUUCAGCAGAUGUAGCCACACUAAAGUUGAAAGCAAUGUUACAUUCUCGACUCUUAGUGAAGUUUGAGGACAUGCUUUUUUAAGCCAGAUUUCUUCCUUUAACCAAAGAAGCACCACACGCUAAGUGGUAUAAAUUUUCUUAUGCAGGGAAUAAGGUCCUAAUUAUUGCUUAAUUUUGCCAGUUCCUAUGAAUCACCAGGAAAAGAUUAAAGCAAGAGUAAAUGUUGGUUCCUUGUCCUGUUUACAGUAAUCAGCUCAAACAAAGUAACUUGAGUCACUUACAUCAUUAGAAGGUGCAUAUGGUUACAUUUUUCUCAUUAAGUUUGCACAGAAGAAAGGAGAUAGAUGCCUGCAGACAGAACUCCCUGCAAACAACUGUUAGUCUGAUGAAUUAAGGAAGUCUAAGAACUCCAUGCCUGCCUACUAAUGCAAUGCUCUUUUUCUUAAGAUUCAUAUUUGAGCUGUUCCCCAUGACAGGUAUGAGUAGGGUGGCAGUGGAGAGUUAAGAACAACGCAGACAAACAGAAAACUGAGCCUUGCACAGACCAACAGCCUUAUAUUUAUCAGCAGCCAAAGACUUCUGUGGUGCAGCCAAGUAGCCAAUAAGUGAAAACCACCACCUACCAACCUCCCCACUGCAAAGUAUGUUUUAUCCUGAAAGCUGGCUACUAAAUUCAUUUUCCAGGAGAGCCUUAACAUAGAGAGCAAGUAAUACUAAAUGUACUACAUCCUGCUGGCAUUCCUUUCAUCCCAUAGGAUAAUACAAACUAUUUAAAUCAAGUAUCUAUGCCUUUUUGCUCCAUCAUUCUUUUUCUUAAGUGUCCAGAUGUUUGAUUAUUCCUCUCAUUGGUUAGAAGGAAACUGAGCCAGAAAAUCAGGAUGAAUAGCACGAGGAUGAGUGGGCACCAUUUCAGAAAGUCUGUGCCUUAAACCCAUUAGUAUUCACAAUGUUUAAGUGCCGUGAUACUCAAUUCAUUUUAUUGCAAUAACAAAAUAGCCUGUUUUGCCAUCAUAAGUCAGAUAAUCAAGGAUGUAAGCAUUUUACCUCUAAAAGCUUGCACAGCUAUACCACCAGUUGGUCAUUAUGGGUGUGCAAUAGUACUUAAAUAUUUCUUUAAAAGGGAAGUCCAGGUUUUCUUCCCUUUUGGCUCAACUCUUAUUUACUGAAAAUUAAAGACAAGUUAUCUCCUUAAAAGAAAUUGACAAUUACGAUGCCUUGCAAAAAGAUCUGGCCUUUGAAGUACGAAAUUCUGUUCCAGUGAAAGAAAUGCAGAAUAGUUCACAAACUCAACCAUAUGAAUCUUUCACACAACUCUGGAAUUACAACCACAAAGAGGUGUCUUGGUGUAAUCACCCUAUCAGUCCAAUCUGAAUGUCAAAAAGAGAAAGCUGAAAAGUUUGGGUUCAAAUCUGGCCUGCUUACAGGCCGCGUUAUAAAAUACCUCCACAUUUAUUGUAAAAAACCUCAAAGCUCAUUACUGUUUUCUUUUUCCUGUAAAUAAUCCAUUUCACCCCUUUGCCCAGAAGCAACCAACUUAACAGUGGAAUGCAGCAGCUUGUUCCUAACACAACUAUAUUGAAGCAAAAAAAAAAAAGCUAUAUGCAACCAGAUCUAAAAAGAAAAAACACAAUCAUUCACAUGAGAUUUUGAACAAGAUGAGGGCCCGCUCAGUUCUCCUCCUGGAGAAGAAAAUAUCCCUUGACUUCAGAAUGAAUGACGGGAGAGGUUUUUUGAUCUGUGCAAUGCUGGCAAGGCACAGCCUCGCCUAAGCGCAAUGCCUGGACACUGGCUUGCUCCCAAGCCUGUGAACAUCACAGGCUGAAGGCACAGAAGAGCUCUUAGUUUCUGUAGCAAUUCCACUCAGUUUCUGCUUCCCAAGUAUGAUUAAAAAAAAAAGUAUGCAGUCUUCCUUUUCUGCUCAUAAUCCCCAAAUUGUUUUGAAUUCAUCCAGUUGCUUGCUUACAAGAUUACCAGGAAUACUUUUAUUUCAUUCAGUUACAAAUCAGUCUGAUCAGCACCUUCUACUGAAGUUCAAUGAUUGAAAAAAAAUCUUUUUCAAUCACUAAAUAGCAAUAACAAGAAUGCCG
ensembl:lncRNA